CUCUGUGAAUAAAACUUUAAUAAUGUACAGCAGAAACUGGACAGGCUCAUUCUUAUAUUAAAACAAAAGAUUUCCUAUAUUACAACUUAUUUACACUUGCAUACUGAAGAGGUAAAGUGUCUAAGUGGCUAUUUUACAGUCCUUUCUAAUAAAAUGUACAAAAACAAACAGAAGUACCGAGAAUGCCGUUCGGGGGCCUUGAUGGCGACAUAAGAACGGGCUUGGACUUGGUCUGUGAAUCCAGAAUCCAGAGGUGUGGGUAGCCCUAAGGAUCAGGGUUAGUUUAGCCUCAGGGGGCCAAAACCUCGGCUUUAGUUUCUCCUCAACUCUUUAACUCCCAACUCCUGGGUUAAGAGUGGUGGUGGUGGUGGCGGCAGCGGGGCUGGGAGCUUCCCCAAACCGCUCAGUCUUCCCCGAAGCUGGAGGAGUGUGUGGUGAGGACAGCAGAGCCACCUGGGGAGCGGCCGAGUGGCUUGGGAGUCCCUGGGGUCGAGGAGUGUUGGCAGAUCCCAGAGGCUGGCUGAGGCUGGGGAGGAGUCUGAUUCCAUCACCUCCUGGCACCCGCCUCGCUCUGCCUGCCGCAGGGUGGACAGGUGGGGCGUCAGCAGGGGUGGGGAAGAAGGUCCCCCAAUGACACGAUUGGUAUGCGAGGGAAGUUCAUCAGUGGCCAGUAAAUUGGCCCAAAGGGUGAGGGGACGAUCUCCUUUUACGCAAGGAAAGAAGCAGUACAUCGGGAAAAUAAAUAGGAAGGCCAGGAGCCCCGGGGAGACCGACGUGAGCAGGGAGAGGCUCUCCCCUCCUCCACAGGCUUUGGCAGAGAGUUGCUGGGCUGGAGGCAGGGAGGGACUCCUGCUGCUCAGUAGGGGGAACAGGCUCAGGUCCAAAGACAGACAUUUCCAGUGUGAUUGAACUAUGUGCGUUUGACUGGAGCCUUUUGUGUGUGUGUGGUUGUUUUUAUAGGGAUUUCCUUAAAAACAAAUAGACUGAGAGGUAAUCGUCAC
rnacentral:lncRNA from 1 species